UACGAAGGGGGCUAGCGUUGCUCGGAAUCACUGGGCGUAAAGCGCACGUAGGCGGCUUUCUAAGUCAGGGGUGAAAUCCUGGAGCUCAACUCCAGAACUGCCUUUGAUACUGGAGAGCUUGAGUCCGGAAGAGGUGAGUGGAACUGCGAGUGUAGAGGUGAAAUUCGUAGAUAUUCGCAAGAACACCAGUGGCGAAGGCGGCUCACUGGCCCGAUACUGACACUGAGGCACGAAAGCGUGGGGAGCAAACAGG
rnacentral:rRNA from 1 species